CAGCCGCCACGGGAAUACGAAGGGUGCAAGCGUUAAUCGGAAUUACUGGGCGUAAAGCGUGCGUAGGCGGUUUGUUAAGUCUGUUGUGAAAUCCCCGGGCUCAACCUGGGAAUGGCAAUGGAUACUGGCAAGCUAGAGUGUGUCAGAGGAUGGUGGAAUUCCCGGUGUAGCGGUGAAAUGCGUAGAGUUCGGGAGGAACAUCAGUGGCGAAGGCGGCCAUCUGGGACAACACUGACGCUGAGGCACGAAAGCGUGGGGAGCAAACAGGAUUAGAUACCCCCGUAGUCCCUGUCUCUUAUAC
rnacentral:rRNA from 1 species